rnacentral:rRNA from 1 species
UAAGAAUUUUCCGCAAUGGGCGCAAGCCUGACGGAGCGACGCCGCGUGGACGAUGAAGGCGGAAACGUUGUAAAGUCCUUUUGUGAGCGAAGAAUAAGGUAACGAAGGAAAGCGUUACUGAUGACGUUAGCUUAUGAAUAAGCCCCGGCUAAUUACGUGCCAGCAGCCGCGGUAACACGUAUGGGGCGAGCGUUGUUCGGAAUUAUUGGGCGUAAAGGGCGUGUAGGCGGCUUUGCAAGCUUGGUGUGAAAUACCCCGGCUUAACCGGGGAAUGGCGCUUGAGAACUGCAAGGCUAGAGUAUUGGGGGGGAAGCUGGAAUUCCUGGUGUAGGGGUGAAAUCUGUAGAUAUCAGGAAGAACACCGAUGGCGAAGGCAAGCUUCUAUCCAAAGACUGACGCUGAGGCGCGAAAGCGUGGGGAGCAAACAG